CACACCGCCCGUCACACCAUGGGAGUGGGUUUCACCAGAAGCAGUUAGCCUAACCGCAAGGAGGGCGCUUACCACUUUGUGAUUCAUGACUGGGGUG
rnacentral:rRNA from 1 species